AUUGAACGCUGGCGGCAUGCUUUACACAUGCAAGUCGAACGGUAACAGGCCGCAAGGUGCUGACGAGUGGCGAACGGGUGAGUAAUGCAUCGGAACGUGCCCAGUCGUGGGGGAUAACGCAGCGAAAGCUGCGCUAAUACCGCAUACGAUCUAUGGAUGAAAGCGGGGGAUCGCAAGACCUCGCGCGAUUGGAGCGGCCGAUGUCAGAUUAGGUAGUUGGUGGGGUAAAGGGCUCACCAAGCCGACGAUCUGUAGCUGGUCUGAGAGGACGACCAGCCACACUGGAACUGAGACACGGUCCAGACUCCUACGGGAGGCAGCAGUGGGGAAUUUUGGACAAUGGGCGCAAGCCUGAUCCAGCCAUUCCGCGUGAGUGAAGAAGGCCUCGGUGUAAG
rnacentral:rRNA from 1 species